rnacentral:lncRNA from 10 species
GACGGGGUUUCACCUUGUUAGCCAGGAUGGUCUCGAUCUCCUGACCUCGUGAUCCACCCGCCUCGGCCUCCCAAAGUGCUGGGAUUACAGGCGUGAGCCACCGCGCCCAGCCUGUAAGCCUAAAUUUUUGUGGCUGUGGGAUGGACAAGGACCCAGUCUUUAGCUGAACUAAGGAAAAGUCCUGCAACAAUAAAUUUCAGAAGUUUGAUCUUAACAGAUGAGGAGACUGAAGCCCACAGAGAUCUGAUAGAAAACAGCUGGAUGUGCUAACAGAGCAUCAGACUUGGAAUCAGGUGGAUCCUAGAUUGGCUACUUCCUAACCUCAGAAAAGUGACAUAAUGUCUAUGGUGAAGUCAUCCAUCUGAAACACAAUGCAGUGAAAUCCACUUUAAAUUUUGAUUGUGGUUCAUCAUAUAAUGAGUGAGGAGUGCACCACCAUUUAUGCUCUCUGGAAGACUUUAAAUAACACUGGAAUACUUUGUGAUUUGAAAGUUUGGUAAAAUUUUCCAGUGCAAUAUUUUGGGCUUGGUGUUUUCUUUCUGGGAAGAUUUUAACCAAUUGAUUCAAUU